GUCCAUGUGGUGUAGAGGUGCGCGGCUCGGAAAUGCCGAGCAGGCCUCGGUUCGAUUCCGAGCUUGGACA
rnacentral:tRNA from 1 species